GAUGAACGCUGGCGGCGUGCUUAACACAUGCAAGUCGAACGGGAUCCAAGGGGUGCUUGCACUUUUUGGUGAGAGUGGCGAACGGGUGAGUAACACGUGAGUAACCUGUCCUUUUCUUUGGGAUAAGCAUUCGAAAGGGUGUUUAAUACCUUAUGUUCUGUCUGCCUCGCAUGGGGUGGGUGGGAAAGGCUUUGGCCGGAUUUGGGUGGGCUCGCGGUCUAUCAGCUUGUUGGUGGGGUGAUGGCUUACCAAGGCUUUGACGGGUAGCCGGCCUGAGAGGGGGGGUGGUUAAAUUGGGACUGAGAUACGGCCCAGACUCCUGCGGGAGGCAGCAGUGGGGGAUAUUGCACAAUGGGCGAAAGCCUGAUGCAGCGACGCCGCGUGGGGGAUGAAGGCCUUCGGGUUGUAAACUUCUUUUGCUCUGAACAAGGCAUGCCAGUGGGUGUGUUGAGUGUAGGGGUUGAUUAGCGCCGGCUAACUACGUG
rnacentral:rRNA from 1 species